rnacentral:rRNA from 1 species
UACGUAGGGGGCUAGCGUUGUCCGGAUUUAUUGGGCGUAAAGAGCGUGUAGGCGGCCAGGUAGGUCUGCUGUGAAAACUCGAGGCUCAACCUCGAGACGUCGGCGGAAACCAUCUGGCUAGAGUCCGGAAGAGGAGAGUGGAAUUCCUGGUGUAGCGGUGAAAUGCGCAGAUAUCAGGAAGAACACCCGUGGCGAAAGCGGCUCUCUGGAACGGUACUGACGCUCAUGCACGAAAGCGUGGGGAGCAAACAGG